rnacentral:rRNA from 1 species
GAUGAACCCUGGCGGCGUGCCUAAUACAUGCAAGUCGAGCGAACGGACGAGAAGCUUGCUUGUCUGAUGUUAGGGGCGGACGGGUGAGUAACACGUGGAUCACCUACCUGUAAGACUGGGAUCGUUUCGGGACACCGUAGCUAAUACCGGACAAAUUUUGAAACGGGUGGUUCCACAGUCAAAAUGCGUCCUGAUGGUCCUUAUUCGGUGUAUCUCGCUGGUUUAGCUAGUUGGUAAGAUAACGGCUUACCAAGGCUACGAUGCGUAGCCGACCUGAGAGGGUGAUCGGCCACACUGGAACUGAGACACGGUCCAGACUCCUACGGGAGGCAGCAGUAGGGAAUCUUCCACAAUGGGCGAAAGCCUGACGCAGCAAGGCCGCGUGUGUGAUGAAGGUCUUCGGAUCGUAAAGCUCUGUUAGUAGGGAAGAACAGAUGUGUAAGAAACCGUGGCCAUCUUGACGGUACCUAAUCAGAAAGCAACGGCUAACUACGUG